rnacentral:rRNA from 1 species
UACGGGGGGAGCAAGCGUUGUUCGGAUUUACUGGGCGUAAAGGGCGCGUAGGCGGUCGUGACAAGUCACUUGUGAAAUCUCCGGGCUUAACUCGGAACGGUCAAGUGAUACUGUCGGACUAGAGUACAGAAGGGGCAACUGGAAUUCUCGGUGUAGCGGUGAAAUGCGUAGAGAUCCGGAAGAACACCGGAGGCGAAGGCGGCUUGCUGGGCUUGGUCUGACGCUGAGGCGCGAAAGCGUGGGGAGCGAACAGG